GAGCUUUCCGGGACCUGGCCAGCGAUGACUCAGCUGCUGCGCCCGGGUGCGGGACUGAUGUGAUGCGGGGAGGGGGCCGCCCGUUUGGAGGGCCGCCUCUGUCUGGUCUGGUUUUGAAGGGUUGUUUGUGGCUGGGAUUGGUGGCUCACAUCCGCUGGGGACUCUGGAGAGGAGGGAAGAAAGACGCGAGGAGGAGGAGCUGGACCGCGUGAGUGGCAGGAGUCCGGUUCGGGCCCGGCUGGGACUGCCUAGUUGCUUUGUUUGCUAACUUGGGACAGUGGCUUCGGGGCCACUCCACGGGACCCGCCUCGGGUCGGCUAAACCCAGCCGCGGCAGCGCGAGGCCGAAACGUUCCUUCCCGGCGGUUACCCGCGCCCACGCGGUGGCUCUCAUUAUGUACACAAAGGAUUUCGGGAAAGAUCGCUUUUGUCUCCGCCCUCACGAGAGCUCCAUCCGCCAAUGAGAAGCGAUGGGGUUUCAGCAUGGACUGGAAUAGUGAUGCUUCUGGGACCAUGAAUGCCCGUCGUUCUGACAGAAGAAUCUCUGGAUACACUUUUCGAUGAUAUCGUCAACGCCAGGCCUCGUGGCAGAUCUGAGUGAGUUUGUAUCUAUAUCGACAAUCUUUCCUGAAAGGUCAUGCCAGUACCAAGGCUCCCAGACUUGGCAGGAAGGCCCUUUCCCCUGUAGUUACCCGGUGUGCCACGCAGAUUACACAGCACUGCAAGUCUUGCCCUGCUUCCAAAGGAGCUCGAAGCUGAGACAGGGCGGGCUAAGAACUGCGGUGUUUCAUAUCCCUGGGAGCUUCAGGACUGACAUUCAUGUCUUCCAAAAUAUCGUGUUUUCAUCAGUACACAAGGAUGGCUUUUUGUCUCUGGACCUCGUUAGUCAAAGAAACUCACUCCAUUAACUGUCGAUUUGGAUACUGCGUGAUAUUUUCUGACGCAAAUACGAUGCUGCCCCCUCGAUCCACCCAAACGAAAACUGUCCAAUGCCUGUAGUAAUAGCGGCCCUAAAGAUUCUUUACGAGUGACUGCCUGUCCUGUAGAAGACACGUCAACUGUCUGAACAUCACCAUCGCUGGAAACAGUUUUUCCUUGAUGUACCUGUCUCACUGUUUCCUUUAAAAUAGCGUGUUUAUCUGGUUUGGCGUUGAAAUUGUCAGUACUGCUAAGAUUUGCAGGUAUCAGCUCAGCCAGUUCUUGUAUUUGCUUUCCUCCUCCUGUCUCCACUUUUCACUACCGUACGCCAGACCCUGCCCUGCAGCAUCGCAUGGCAAUGGCGUUUCUGAGACUCAGUGGCCAGCGGAUCCAAGGAGCUUUCACCUAGUCCACUCAACUUGAACACAGAUCUGCAACUGGCAGCCCAAUCAGUGAGGUCCAGGUAGGAGCAAAUCUUUUUUAUCUGCUCGCCACCAUCUUCCCGAGCGCCGCUGCUCUCUUUCGGAAACGCGCAGCUCAGCCCCGGCGAUCUGAGGAGCUGAGGCAUGGGUACUAUUCUUAAAGACAAGAAAUUCUUUCCUUUCUUUUUUCUUUAUAAAGUAAGCUACAUUUUUUUAACUAUGUGCUUAUAUGUGGGUACACGCACAAAAGUGAAGCUGUCCUUGGAGACAGCACUCAGGAGCCUCCCAAGAUGCAUGCUGGGAACUGAACUUGGAACCUCUGCAAGAACGGUACAUCUUAGCCAGCGAUUCACUGAACCAUCUCUCCAGUCCAAAACCUUUU